CCCUUAGAUGUUCUGGGCCGCACGCGCGCUACACUGAUUCAUGCAACAAGUUUUGUCCUUGGCUGAUAGGCCUGGGUAAUCUUUGAACGUGAAUCGUGAUGGGGAUAGAUGAUUGCAAUUAUUCAUCUUCAACGAGGAAUUCCUAGUAAACGCAAGUCAUCAGCUUGCAUUGAUUACGUCCCUGCCCUUUGUACACACCGCCCGUCGCACCUACCGAUUGAAUGGUCCGGUGAAAUCUUCGGAUCUGAGAGAUGUCUGAUUAAUUUCGGACGCCUUUUGGAAAAGUUGUUUAAACCUUGCCAUUUAGAGGAAGGUGAAGUCGUAACA
rnacentral:rRNA from 1 species